GUUGGUCUGUGAAUAUCUGUUAGGAUGGAGACUCCACAACCUCUCUAGUUGUUCCAGUGUGUGACCACCAUCACAACAAAAAAGUUCUUCAGAUUGAAGUCAAAGCAGAGAUGAAGAACUGCUCCAGUUUCUUCAGGGUGCAUUUACAUCAAGAUGUUUAAUUUGGGCCUCUAAU